rnacentral:rRNA from 1 species
AGGAUUAACGCUGGCGGCGUGCCUGACACAUGCAAGUCGAACGAGGCCGCAAGGCCGAGUGGCGGACGGGUGAGUAACACGUGACCAACCAACCUCGAAGUUGGGAAUAGCUCUGCGAAAGUAGGGGUAAUACCGAAUGUGGCCCAGGGCAGGCAUCUGCCUUGGUCUAAAGAUUCAUCGCUUCGAGACGGGGUCGCGGCCUAUUAGCUUGUUGGUGGGGUAACGCUCACCAAGGCGAUGAUGGGUAGCUGGUCUGAGAGGACGACCAGCCACACUGGGACUGAGACACGGCCCAGACUCCUACGGGAGGCAGCAGUGAGGAAUCUUCCGCAAUGGGCGAAAGCCUGACGGAGCAACGCCGCGUGUGGGAUGAAGGCUCUAGGGUUGUAAACCACUGUCGGAGGGACGAUCGUGACGGUACCCUCCAAGAAAGCCCCGGCUAACUACGUGCCAGCAGCCGC